CUACCUUUCUUUUUUAUUUUGUCCUACACGUUUGUUUUGUUCCCGUUUUUCUGCUGUCAAUUUAAACGUUUCGAAAGUAUCUUAACUUUUUGAUGAAAUAAAUUUGAAGCAAGGUUGUACCAAAAAAAAAUAAAAAAAUUGAAGCAAGGUGAUUAUCUAUCGAUAAGUAAAGAAGACCUCGAAGAUAAUUGCUCUUCUCCCAUUUGUUUUUCUCAUUCUCGUCAAAAAAGUUGAGUGUGAGUUAACUCAUGCAUGUAUAUUUCUCAGCAGGAAUGAGCAAAAACAGAUAAGAGAAGAGCAAUUAUCUUUUCUCUUGUAUUAGACCAAAUAAUUGGAGUUAAAACAUUUGAAAGUUUAAUGCGGUUUGUGUCAUUUUUCUUGUUGAAUACUUUGUUCGUCAGUGUCACGUUAAAAAUAUUUGGUUGUCUUAAAUGUAUUUCUCACUUCAGACUUCAGAGUAUGAAAACAUGAUUUAUUAAUUUUUCCAACAAUAUUUUCUUCAGCCCCGGUCUUGCUAGGAAAGUUGCACACGUAUUUUCUUCUCAUGUAGUUUUACUAGGAAAGUUUAGCAGGGUGUGUUUGAUAGGAUGGGGGGUGGAGGUAGUUUCCAAAACUGAAUGGAGUUUUUCAUUUUUUGCAGACUAGGAAUUUCUUGAAGUGAAGAGAAUUGAAGAAAGAAAAAUGUUUGAUUUGGCUUGACACAGAUUUUAU
rnacentral:lncRNA from 1 species